ensembl:lncRNA
GGGUUGUGGGGUUAUGGGGCUGGAGGUCGGGGCUGUGGGCUGUGGGGUUGUGGGGCUGUGGGAUUAUGGGGACUGGAGGCUGUGGGGCUGUGGGGUUAUGGGGCUGGAGAUCGGGGCUGUGGGGUUAUGGGGUUGUGGGCUGUGGGGUUAUGGGGCUGUGGGGUUGUGCAGCUGGAGGUCAGGGCUGUGGGGUUGUGGGGCUGUGGGGUUGUGGGGAUGGAGGUCAGGGCUGUGGGUUUAUGGGGCUGGAGGCUGUGGGGCUGGGGGGUCAUGGGGCUGGGGGGCCAUAGGGCUGGAGGCCAGGAGCUGUGGGGUUAUGGGGCUGUGGGGUUAUGGGGUUAUGGGCUGUGGGUUUGUGGGGCUGUGGGGCCAUGGGUCUGGGGGCUGUGGGGCUGGGGGCUGUGGGGCUAUGGGGACUGGAGGUUGUGGGGCUGGAGGCCAGGGGCUGUAGGGUUGUGGGGCUGGAGGUCAGGGCGGUGGGGUUAUGGG